AUGAUCAUCCGGCCAGCGACGAUGAAGGAAGGAGGCGUCGGCUACGAGGCGGCUCCAGCUCUUGCACGUCACGGCGCAGCGGAAGAGAGCGGCCUCGCCUUCCACGCGGACGAGGAUCUCGCGGACGGCGUCCUCCGGGAGCGACACCGCCUCCGGCUGCGGCGCCGCCGUCUCGUCCAUCUUUCGAGCUGUAGCGUGAUCGCGUCUGCCGCGAUCGUCGCCUGUCUGAACCCGCCCACCAUAGCGGAGUUGGACGCCUCCCAAGGCCUCCCGCCAUGGAUCACCCUCGACACAAGGGUGUACUUUGCCCAACGCCACAACUCCACCACGGCCGGAGCCGAGACAAGCAAAGGCCACGCCGUUCAGGUCUCCAUCUGCUUCGCGCACCCGCCGGCCCUCUCCUGCGUGUGCAUCCACUGCCCCGGCCUCCAGCACGCCAACUUCGCCGGCGAGCCACGCGUUGUCCGCUCUGAGAAGCAAUUCCUUCUCCUGCACCUGCCGCUCAACUGGUCCACCAAGUUCGUGCGGCGGUCCAGCGAGUACUACAUGUACCAGGCCGUUCCGGGGAGACCACCGACGCUUACCCGGAUUCCGGACCAGCCGGAUCUUAGCUUCCUCGUGCCACGCGAUCUUGGCAUUCACUGUUGUAGCGACGAUGGGGAGUACAUCCUGGCUGGUCUGUGCCCGAGCCGCGAUGAUGCUCAAGGAGGAUAUGAACUUCACCUGUACUCGUCGGUGUCGAGAGCAUGGACCAGGAAACCUGCUUAUCUGGAGAAACCACCGAUUGAGGAGCAGCUUCCUGUUGUGUCGCACAAGGUAAUCCCCCUUGGAGGGAGCCUGCUAGGCUGGGUCGAUCUUUGGAGGGGUAUUAUGGUGUGCGACGUGCUCUCUGAUGAGACUGUGUGCCUAUGGUUCAUCCCACUUCCUGGCCUGAUGCCUGGGAACGAGGCUGAUCGUCAUUUGUGCCCAUGGGUCAUCCAUGACAUCACUUGUACCAAUGGAUUGCUCAAAUUAGUCGAGAUCGAACUUAUUUCUUUAUCCCAAAAAGCAAUCAAGGCAUGA
rnacentral:rRNA from 1 species